rnacentral:rRNA from 1 species
GACGAACGCUGGCGGCGUGCUUAACACAUGCAAGUCGAGCGGGAUCCAACCGGUGGCAACACCGGGGAAGAUCUAGCGGCGAACGGGUGAGUAACACGUGAGCAACCUGCCCCGAAGACUGGGAUAACACCGGGAAACCGGUGCUAAUACCGGAUGUCGUCAUUAGGCCGCAUGACCUGAUGAUGAAAGGAUUCAUCGCUUCGGGGAGGGGCUCGCGGGCUAUCAGCUUGNGGUGGGGUAACGGCCUACCAAGGCGACGACGGCUAGCUGGUCUGAGAGGACGACCAGCCACACUGGGACUGAGACACGGCCCAGACUCCUACGGGAGGCAGCAGUGGGGAAUCUUGCGCAAUGGGCGAAAGCCUGACGCAGCAACGCCGCGUGGGGGAUGAAUGCC